rnacentral:tRNA from 1 species
GAAAGGAAGACCCCUGGCUCAGUGGCAGAGCAUCUGUUCGGCAUGCAAAAGAUUCCAGGUUAAUUCCCUGGCAUUUCA